UUAAAAUUUAAAAUCAAACCUAACUAAACCAAAUCAAACCGGUUUGGUUUUUAACCAAGCCCAUGAACACCCCUAUCAGAGGCGGACCCACGUGGUGCCUCGAGGGUGCACGUGCACCCGAUAACUUUUUAAAAAAAUUAUAUAUAUAUGUAUAUAUAUCCUACUAAAGUGUUAAUAUAUUUAAUUGUGCACCCUCAAUAAUAAAACUUGUAUGGGUACACUGGUUUGAAACUCAAAUGCUGACGUUCUUCUGGCCCGACGUCGCGCGUUCAAUUUCUGAUGGAGUCGCUACAAUUUAUAAAGUAGUAGUACCCAAACAAAGAGAAAGGAGCAAUUUUCCAUCUGAUGCUAAUAGGAAUUUGUUAUUGAUUCUUGUGAAUUGAAAUGGAUAGAUAGUAUUCUCCUCAACCAAGUUCUAGUUUUAAGGAUAAUUCUCAUCGCGUUACUUGUGAAGUUAACGUUGAUUUUACCAGUCGUUACUGCAACUGUAGAGAGACUUUUUCAUCCAUGAAGCAUAUCAAGAAUGAAUUGCAUAGUACUAUUGGUGAUGCAUUUUUAAGUGAUUGUUUAGUUUGUUAUAUUGAGAAGGAUAUAUUUGUAAAUAUAAGCAACGAUGUAAUCAUUGACCGUUUUCAGAAUAUGAAAACGUGUCGAUGUCUAGUAUGAAAGGAUGAUCUACUUUUGUUAUAUUAGUACUAUAGUAAUAUCAUUUGAUGAUUUUGAAGUUUA